rnacentral:rRNA from 1 species
GACGAACGCUGGCGGCGUGCUUAACACAUGCAAGUCGAACGGAAAGGCCCUGCUUUUGUGGGGUGCUCGAGUGGCGAACGGGUGAGUAACACGUGAGUAACCUGCCCUUGACUUUGGGAUAACUUCAGGAAACUGGGGCUAAUACCGGAUAGGAGCUCCUGCUGCAUGGUGGGGGUUGGAAAGUUUCGGCGGUUGGGGAUGGACUCGCGGCUUAUCAGCUUGUCGGUGGGGUAGUGGCUUACCAAGGCUUUGACGGGUAGCCGGCCUGAGAGGGUGACCGGCCACAUUGGGACUGCGAUACGGCCCAGACUCCUACGGGAGGCAGCAGUGGGGAAUAUUGCACAAUGGGCGGAAGCCUGAUGCAGCAACGCCGCGUGCGGGAUGACGGCCUUCGGGUUGUAAACCGCUUUCGCCUGUGACGAAGCGUGAGUGACGGUAAUGGGUAAAGAAGCACCGGCUAACUACGUG